GUAUAGUCACCUGACCUACGUCAUAUGUUGUAUCUCUGUAUUUAUCACUAAUGCUGUGAUUUAAAUGUGGUUAUUAACUGGUUUAAAGUGCAGUUUGUCAGGUUUUGUCUGUGUUUAAGUUCAGUAAUCAGUGACUGGCUGGCUGUUAGAGAUGUGAUGAAGUUCACAGUCUGGCUUCCUUCCUGUAGAUAACUUGAAGGCGUAUUUUAAGCGGGGGAAAGCUCACGCAGCCGUGUGGAACGAGGCCGAGGCCCGGGCCGACUUCGCCAAAGUCCUAGAACUGGACCCGUCUCUGGGUCCCGCAGUGGCCAAGGAGAUCCGAGCGAUGGAGGAGCGGAUCCGGGAGAAGGAGAAGGAGGAGAAGGGCCGAUACAAAAAUCUCUUCAGCUACAACAGCAGCACUUCACCAACCGCAACUACGAGUUGAGGAGGAGAGUGGACAUUUUUUCUGUCGUUCCUGAGGAGAGGGUCGGUCAUGGAGGCACUGUAAAAACUGAAGCACGUGAACCUUCUUCAGUUCGCCCACUUAUUAUACCAGCCAGCCAGGCACAACCAUCUCCCUCCUUUCCUGUUCUUCACAUUUUCACCCCCCCAUUCUUACCAUGCUCCUCACUGUUGUUACGCACAAAUUAUUAUUAUUAUUAUUAUUAUUAUACGUCUGUAAUGAAUCCCUUUAUGAAAUGAGAUCUGAAUUAAUGUUGAAAUUAACUGAAAAUAUAAGGGCUCACCUAAAGUACUUUUUAGUAGGAUUUAGGACACACCUCUGUUCCAUUUGCCCUUCCCCCGUCCACUUCCUGUUUGGUUAGGACUGUAGAAGGACAAGGAGGAAUUACUGUGUGAACAUACGCACCUUUAUUUAUGGAGAAUAACACUCAGAAUGAGGAAUUAUGGUCCAGAAGACACUGAGGUCCAGUGAUGAUGAUCUACAGUACAGAACAGGAGUUAGAAAGAUAAAGCCUCCUGAUCGAGACAAUCACCCAGCUAAUAUAGUACGUUUCUCCACUAGGGCUGCAUAAUAUCAGCAGAACACCACAUUACAGUUACUAUGGUAUAUGAUAACUGACAUAUAAUGGUAAAUCAAUAAUAUAAACCUAGCACAAAACCUAAGGAAGUGUGUGUUUGGUAGAUUAUUUGUUGUAAUGUUUCUUGGCUAUAAAUCUUAUACCUAAAGCCUGUUAAUUUCUCUUUUAAAUGGAGCUGGAACAUGUAUUUAAAUAGAGUAAGGAAGGAACAUGUAUUAGUGGGAUGUGCAGCAAAGUACCGUAUUUCUUCCUGAAAACUGUUUAUUUGGGUGAGUAAAUCACUUCCGUCUGUUUACAAUAAGCUUAGAUUUCCAGAUAUACACUAUGGCUGGGUGCAGCAGCAUUAGCAGUUAGCACUAGUAAAUUCCACCCGACAGUGCUACACUGAGGAACCCUGAGUAAGCCAGUGCGAUAUUAGCUAGCUGUUUGUUCCACGUAGCUUGUUUUAACAUGCAGACUACAGUACGAUAUACUCCCCUCUGACCAGCGAAAGAGCUAGUGCUUAGCCUGGUUAGCAGCUAAUGCUAAUACUGCUCCAGUCUCAAUGCUGGAGAACUAAACUGAAACUCCUGUAUAACUCUGUACUUCAGUGGAGUGACUUUACUGCUCCUUAACACCUGACUGGUAGAAUUUAUACAUAAGGAGCACCGGAUUAUAAGGAGCUCUGUAAUUUUGGGGAACAUUAAAGGAUUUUAAGUGCGUUUUAUAGUGUGAAAUAUACAGUAUGUGGGUUGCACCCAUGAAAAAUUGACCAAACAGUUUAUUCUGCUGCGAUAGGGCAACUUCAAGCUGGUGUUCUUCUAAACCGUAAAAUUUCAGCAUUAUUUAGAGUGAGUCCUGGUACCAGUAUCUCCAAACUGAAGGCCAAGUUCCAUAUAAUGGAUGCUAGAGAUCAAAAAAGAUCAAACAAGAAAACCAAACAAGUCAAUGGAAAAAUAGUAAUAAGCUGUUUGGCAUUGGUUAAAAAGAUUUGGCACAUUUUUUAUUGCCGCAACCCACAUACCACCAGCUCUGCUGCUCAGCCCAUAAAUACAUGUUCCUUACAACUUUGACUACAAUUAAAGAUAAUUUAACUUACUUUUCAAUGGUUUUUGGAUUUAUUACCAAGAAGCAUUGUUACAACAAUUAAAUAAAAAAAACUACCAAACACCUCCGCA
ensembl:lncRNA